rnacentral:tRNA from 1 species
CGGUGUAGCUCAGUGGUAGAGCUACUGAUUUGUAAUCAGUGGGUCGUGGGUCCGAAUCCCACCGCCG